AUAUUCAUAUGGUAAUUUAUAUAUAUCGAAUAUGAAUUUAUAGUUAAUUACGAUUAGUAAGUAACUUGUUAUGGCUACUCAAAUGGAAAAUGGAACAAUAUAGAAAUUACUUUGCUAUCAUAACAUCUUUAUAUAACAAUCUCAACACGAUACUAAUGUGGUAAUUAAGUUGCUUAUAUCAUGACAAGUCUUUUCGUAGCUCGCGGAGAUUUCAAGAGUAAUAAAGUAAAUUAGAAUCAUUAGAAGUCAGAAGGAUACAAAGAGAAGAUCUCUUUCAUGUAAGCUGAGCUAAUGAAGAUGAGGUCAUGGAAUGAAUAUGAUUUGAUUACGUUCGAAGAAAUAGAAGAAACAAAGAAAUAUAAAAUAACUUACCGGAAUAUAUAAAGAAAAGAUCUAACAAGAUGAUAUUCGUUAUAAAAGAAUGGAAAAAAAACUACGACCAUUUAAACACGUUUACGAGAGUAAACAAGUUUGUAAGAAUACAGAACAUCCUUUUAAAAACGGGGUAUGAAAAUUCGUCGAUAAUCGAAUAGUAGUUUUGAUUCUUUCUUUUCUCUUUUUCAUUCUUUUCUUUCUUUACAAUUUUCACAUCAAGUUAGAGAUUUAAGCGAGUGGACAAGGCAACGGAGGCGCCAAAACGUCUGUGCCGGAUUUGAGAGUGCGCACGUGCCGCCGGAAAGUGGGUUAAUUUCUUGCUCGCACGAGUAUAGAGGAUGACGACAAAAGUACUAUAUCCUUUAUUACCUCGAUGAUUCUCCUUUUUACUCUUUCAAAAAUUAACGAAUGAACGAAUGAAUUAAUAAACAAAGCAAUUUGGAAGAAUCCUUGAGUGUAUAAUGUCGUAUUAUUUUUGCGGACGUUAACCUUACUCAUUUUCUCUCUUUCUUUAUCUCUUAUGUUACAAAUAGGAGUUGGUAGGAGACAAUUCAUUGUGACCCUGCCAACGAGAACAAAUUCUCUUACAUAUGAGUUCAUCGAGCCUAUUUCAGAUAUUUCUGUUUUGUUUUAGGUUGAAGUGUCAAAAAGGGAAAUUGAUAUGUUAACAAGAUAAAUAACAUUAUCAAAAGAUCGACCGUCUAGACAUAAAACGGAUACUCUAAAAUAUAGUGAUGUCAUCUUUUUACCGUCCAUCGUUUUAUUGAAUGAACUCAUUUUAUAAAUAAAGUGGAUGACAUUUUGAAAAGAGACAGACCAUCUGGAAGAAAGUAAAAGAUUCAUCAACUGUGAGAAAGAGGGAGAAAAAGAGAGAGAGAGAGAAAAAAAGA